UACGAAGGGGGCUAGCGUUGCUCGGAAUCACUGGGCGUAAAGGGUGCGUAGGCGGGUCUUUAAGUCAGGGGUGAAAUCCUGGAGCUCAACUCCAGAACUGCCUUUGAUACUGAAGAUCUUGAGUUCGGGAGAGGUGAGUGGAACUGCGAGUGUAGAGGUGAAAUUCGUAGAUAUUCGCAAGAACACCAGUGGCGAAGGCGGCUCACUGGCCCGAUACUGACGCUGAGGUGCGAAAGCGUGGGGAGCAACAGGAUA
rnacentral:rRNA from 1 species